UGCCAGCCGCCGCGGUAAGACGGAGGGGGCUAGCGUUGUUCGGAUUUACUGGGCGUAAAGAGCAUGUAGGCGGCAUGGCAAGUUGGGAGUGAAAGCCCGGGGCUUAACCUCGGAACUGCUCUCAAAACUGCCAAGCUAGAGUAUGGUAGAGGAUGAUGGAAUUCCUAGUGUAGAGGUGAAAUUCUUAGAUAUUAGGAGGAACACCGGUGGCGAAGGCGGCCCGCUGGGGCUAUUCUGACGCUAAUGUGCGAAAGCGUGGGGAGCGAACGGGAUUAGAUA
rnacentral:rRNA from 1 species